rnacentral:rRNA from 1 species
AUUGAACGCUGGCGGCAUGCUUUACACAUGCAAGUCGGACGAGUGGCGAACGGGUGAGUAACGCAUCGGAACGUACCGAGUAAUGGGGGAUAACUGUCCGAAAGGACAGCUAAUACCGCAUAUUAUUCGCGCGGCCGAUGUCUGAUGAGCUGGUUGGCGGGGUAAAGGCCCACCAAGGCGACGAUCAGUAGCGGGUCUGAGAGGAUGAACGGCCACAUUGGGACUGAGACACGGCCCAGACUCCUACGGGAGGCAGCAGUGGGGAAUCUUCCGCAAUGGACGAAAGUCUGACGGAGCAACGCCGCGUGAGUGAUGACGGCCUUCGGGUUGUAAAGGACUUUUGUCAGGGAAGCGGUACCUGAAGAAUAAGCACCGGCUAACUACGUGCCAGCAGCCGCGGUAAUAC